rnacentral:lncRNA from 1 species
AAUUAAUCGGAAUAGAGUUCUUAAGUUUCAGAUCUGAUAGUUAAUAAUGCAUAAAAGUUUUAGCAUAAUUGUUUAAACGAUUCCGACAUAAUCCUAUGUAUUCUUAAAGUGCUGAUUUCUAGAUUUGAUCUUGUAAGCAUGCAUGAAUUAAAUUGUUUGAUUCGGUUUUUCCGCUGCGUUUUAAAACUUAAAAAGAACUACGUAUGGCUUGAUCCCCCUUAUGAAGGGGUACGUAGGCAACCCGAUCAGGUUCAGCCAUGGUUUAAAAAAAAAAAAUUCAGCAUGCUUAAUACCGAAAAACUUAGGAUUCACUUUCAGUGGUAUCAGAGCAAAGGUCCAAGAGUUGUGACCGAUCUCCGGGAACUCUCACGCGUGAUCGUGUGACGAAGCGUGGCUCUCCGUCCGGAGGCGUAUAGAGAUGCAUGCUCUGAUAGGUAUACAUGGGUGUCACCCUAUUUUUAAUAGGACCGAACCCAUGUAGGAGUGGAGACUCCCCCCAUCAGUGGUAUCAGAGCUAGGUUCAUGUUUAAACUUUUAUGUUUUAAUUUUUGCAAUUAAAUCUGAAAUCAUGAGCAUGCUUAGAUUAGAUCUAAAGUAUUUUUUUUAUGAUUGAUUUAAUUGCUGAUUAUGCAUGAUUAACUAGACCUGAAAUUUUGAAUGCAUAUGAUGCAUAUUUGUGUUAAGAUUUGUAUCAUAAAUAAAUCUGAAAUCAUAAUAUUGUUUNN